GACGAACGCUGGCGGCGUGCUUAACACAUGCGAGUCGAACGGAAAGGCCCUGCUUUUGUGGGGUGCUCGAGUGGCGAACGGGUGAGUAUCACGUGAGUAACCUGCCCUUGACUUUGGGAUAACUUCAGGAAACUGGGGCUAAUACCGGAUAGGAGCUCCUGCUGCAUGGUGGGGGUUGGAAAGUUUCGGCGGUUGGGGAUGGACUCGCGGCUUAUCUGCUUGUUGGUGGGGUAGUGGCUUACCAAGGCUUUGACGGGUAGCCGGCCUGAGAGGGUGACCGGCCACAUUGGGACAGAGAUACGGCCCAGACUCCUACGGGAGGCAGCAGUGAGGAAUAGUGCACAAUGGGCGGCAGCCUGAUGCAGCAACGCCGCGUGCGGGAUGACGGCCUUCGGGUUGUAAACCGCUUUCGCCUGUGACGAAGCGUGAGUGACGGUAAUGGGUAAAGAAGCACCGGCUAACUACGUG
rnacentral:rRNA from 1 species